CCCGCACAAGCGGAGGAACAUGUGGUUUAAUUCGAUGAUACGCGAGGAACCUUACCCGGGCUUGAAAUGCAUCUGACCGGCCUUGAAAGAGGUUUUUCCCCUUCGGGGCAGAUGUGUAGGUGCUGCAUGGUUGUCGUCAGCUCGUGCCGUGAGGUGUCGGCUUAAGUGCCAUAACGAGCGCAACCCUCAUCAUUAGUUACCAUCAGGUAAGGCGUGGGGACUCUAAUGAGACUGCCAUCGUAAGAUGUGAGGAAGGUGGGGAUGACGUCAAAUCAGCACGGCCCUUACGUCCGGGGCGACACACGUGUUACAAUGGGUGGUACAAAGGGCAGCUACCUGGCGACAGGAUGCUAAUCUCCAAAACCACUCUCAGUUCGGAUCGGAGUCUGCAACUCGACUCCGUGAAGCUGGAUUCGCUAGUAAUCGCGCAUCAGCCACGGCGCGGUGAAUACGUUCCCGGGCCUU
rnacentral:rRNA from 1 species